CGUCCUCAUCGCCGUCGUCGUCGUCGUCGUCGUCGGUGGUACAGUCGAGUAGGUUAAGAAAGCGGGACACGCGUACAGAUAGAUCAGUUUUCCGUGUCGUUGUGAUCGAAAGCGCGUUUCGUCGCGUACGAUCCAUGGAUCUGGGUUUACUAUAUAAUAUUUACACGUAAAAUACAAUCGAUCGAGAGUAGACAAAGAUCGAAAGCUUUCAUUGGUCCAGCGAAACGGAGAGAAGAAGCGCAAGACGAGAGUCGGCCAGGCGACUCGAAUGUAGAAAAUUAGCGUCGCGAUCGGUCGACCCAUCAUUCUCGCGACAGGGAAAGGACAGUUGAAACCGGGACGAACGAAACGAGGAGGCGAGAAAAGCGGACGGGAUCGCAAGGGAAAGAAUAGAAAAGUGAGAGAUAAGACUGAGAUAGAGAGUGUUGUGAAGUGAGAAAGAAAAACGAAAAGGGAGAAACGAGUGUGACGAACGCGAUAAGAAAGAAGAGAAGGACUUGUGUCGAAGAGGAGAGGAACGAGAGGACAGGAGAUUACAUAUAGGGAAAGCUCAGUGAAGAGAGAGGGGGAGUAAAGAG